rnacentral:rRNA from 1 species
AUGAGGUUCCUUGGCCUUGUGAGCCUGGUUGCUUUGAUCUUCCUCUUAAGCUUCAGGUCUUUGCUUCACCAGCAAGUGCUCGUUGAAGUUCUUUUCCCUUCCGUGCAAGGAGAAGGUGCUGCGACUGCGAGCCAUGACGACGGCAGGAGGCAGCACGCCAAGGAGUGGGCCGAGGAGAGGAAGAGGAUGAGGUGGUUCAUGACCAAGGACUACGGCCAUCCGAGGCGCCACACGCCGAGGCACAACCGGCUGCUGUAG